AGUGAUGAAGGUUUUCGGAUCGUAAAGCUCUGUUGUUAGGGAAGAACAAGUGCAAGAGUAACUGCUUGCACCUUGACGGUACCUAACCAGAAAGCCACGGCUAACUACGUGCCAGCAGCCGCGGUAAUACGUAGGUGGCAAGCGUUGUCCGGAAUUAUUGGGCGUAAAGGGCUCGCAGGCGGUUUCUUAAGUCUGAUGUGAAAGCCCCCGGCUCAACCGGGGAGGGUCAUUGGAAACUGGGAAACUUGAGUGCAGAAGAGGAGAGUGGAAUUCCACGUGUAGCGGUGAAAUGCGUAGAGAUGUGGAGGAACACCAGUGGCGAAGGCGACUCUCUGGUCUGUAACUGACGCUGAGGAGCGAAAGCGUGGGGAGCGAACAGGAUUAGAUACCCUGGUAGUCCACGCCGUAAACGAUGAGUGCUAAGUGUUAGGGGGUUUCCGCCCCUUAGUGCUGCAGCUAACGCAUUAAGCACUCCGCCUGGGGAGUACGGUCGCAAGACUGAAACUCAAAGGAAUUGACGGGGGCCCGCACAAGCGGUGGAGCAUGUGGUUUAAUUCGAAGCAACGCGAAGAACCUUACCAGGUCUUGACAUCCUCUGACAACCCUAGAGAUAGGGCUUUCCCUUCGGGGACAGAGUGACAGGUGGUGCAUGGUUGUCGUCAGCUCGUGUCGUGAGAUGUUGGGUUAAGUCCCGCAACGAGCGCAACCCUUGAUCUUAGUUGCCAGCAUUCAGUUGGGCACUCUAAGGUG
rnacentral:rRNA from 1 species